AUUCACGAGUACAACUCUGAUUUCUACGACUACGAAUUCUUCAUUAUGAACACAAAUUCAAGUUUGUGGGGACGAGUAAAGAACAGUUGAAAUGACGUCACUGCCGGCACAGGGCAGGUAAUCGAACCUUGAUUCCAUCUAAAGCGCAUGCGUCAAAGGUGAAAGAUGGCUAACAACAGACCUGAGGCUGCUAGCCCAGGCUCAGCAUCACAGGGACCACUGGCUACUCAGUUACUGCAGCGUCUGGAAUCAAGGAUCACUGACUCGUUAAGUCAACCAUACUUUAAUUGGGACUACUUCCAGUACGUUGUAAAUCAGGAAGCCUUUAUUCUGACAUCUGCAUCUAGCAUUUUAAACAUCCCAGCUGAAAUUGUGGAGUGUCUUUUAUCCCUUCAAAGAAUGAUUCACGCAGCUCUUUCACAAGUGAGUCCCUGUGUUUUUAUUAGAGAAGGAGGACUCGGCCGACCAAAAUUGAGUUUUUCUGAGGAGCUGCUGUCCAGGCUUAUUGACAUGCCCUUACCAGUGUCUUGUAUCGCCAACCUGCUGGGUGUCAGCCAAAGUACAAUUUUCCGGCGUAUGCAUGAACUCAGGUUGUCCACAAGACUUACAUACAGCAGUUUAUCUGACAGUGAUCUGGAUGAUGCUGUCAUCUCCAUAAAAACCAGGAUCCCAAAUGCAGGAUACAGAAUGGUUAAAGGUUGCCUCCAAGCAAAUGGACAUAGAGUUCAGUGGAAUCGCAUCAAGGAGUCCAUGCACAGAGUUGAUGCUCCAGGAAUUUUGGAAAGAAUGACAUAGCUUGGUUGCAUCGUCAGGAGGACAUACUUCGUACAGCGGCCUUUGUCAUUAGUGCACGUGGACACUAACCAUAAGCUCAUAAGGUACAACAUUGUCAUAUUUGGAGCAAUAGAUGGUUACUCCAGAAAGGUGCAUCACUUUUUUUUUUUUUUACUACUUUUAUUAUAGUGAUUUACUCUUCCUGUAUAUUUUUGUGUUCAUGUAUUCACUGUUGAUAGACUGCAUAAGGUUCCGUCCGUAUUAUUAUUAUUAUUAUUUAUUAUUAUUAUUAUUUAAAUCCAAAACGUAUAAUGACAAAACCAAAUUCAAAUGACAGUCUGAUUUAGUUUUUUUGCAAAUUCAUUUUUUCGUUUCUCCACUGAAUUAAGACAUUAAGAAAAACAAGACCGGUGGGUCAGAUGACCCGGAAGUAAAAGUAAAUAUAUCAAAAUAAAGGACAACAGUAGUUGAUUACAUGCAGUUUAAUAUUGUGCAUUUAUCCAUGUGCACAGCAAAAGUCACGUUUAAUUAGCAAAUUUUUUGGUGCAUUACAUUUGGUAAUAUACUUUACCCUAAGUUAUUAUUGUGUGUGCAGUAGGCAAUGUGAGUAUAUUUAAAUGUUUGCAGAUUCACUAUAUGAAACUCUGUUAUCUGUAUAGAUACUGUAUCUGGAACCAGCAACAAAUAACUGCUCAAACACUGCCCUUUCAUUUUUCCUUAAGGCAGUGGAAAACUUUGGCUGGCCUUCUAGGGUCAGGGGCGAUGAAGGCGUUGAAAAUGUUGCAAUUGCUGAAACCAUGUUCAGUGUUAAAGGCACCGGAAGAGGGAGCUUCAUCGCUGGGCGAAGUGUACACAACCAAAGGAUUGAACGCCUAUGGCGAGAUGUCUGGACCUCUGUCACUCAUCUGUACUAUGAAGUUCUUCACAGUCUAGAAGAAGAUGGCCUGUUGGAUUUGUCAGAUGCUGUCCAUCUGUUUUGUGCCCAUUAUGUGUUCCUACCGCGUCUGGCAGAGGCCCUUCACACAUUCACAGAGGGCUGGGACAACCAUCCGUUACGAUCUGAAGGUGGACUCACACCUAACCAACUCUGGGUUAUGGGUCACAUGCAGAACCCUUGUAACACAGAUGAAGAUUUGCAGAACAUGGAGCUGUUUGGAACUGACUGGGAGAUGUUUGAUGGUGUGCCUGAAGAACCUUAUGGAGUUGAAGUCCCAGAAAUUGAGUGCCCCCUGACUCCAGCUAGUAUGU